ACUUGUAUAGCUUAAAGGUAAGAGUGUGGCUUUGAAGCAGCCAAGGUAAUAGAUAUUUGCAAGUG
rnacentral:tRNA from 1 species